rnacentral:piRNA from 1 species
UAUAUGUGAUUUUUCUGAUAUAUAACUGUG